GCAGUGGUAGCUCAGUGGUUAAAACAUUGGAUUACUGAUCAGAAGGUCGUAAAUUCAAAUCUCAAUCCAUUGAG